rnacentral:rRNA from 1 species
CCUACGGGUGGCAGCAGUGAGGAAUAUUGGUCAAUGGCCGGAAGGCUGAACCAGCCAAGCCGCGUGAAGGACGAAGGUGUCAAGCAUUGUAAACUUCUUUUGUCAAGGGGCACAAUCAGGAUCGAGAGCCUGACCGAGCGUACUUGAAGAAAAAGCAUCGGCUAACUCCGUGCCAGCAGCCGCGGUAAUACGGAGGAUGCGAGCGGUAUGCGGAUUUAUUGGGUUUGAAGGGUGCGUAGGCGGACUGUUAAGUCAGCGGUAAAAGCCCGGGGCUCAACCCCGGCGAGCCGUGGAUACUAGCUGUCUAGAGAUGGCGAGAGGUAUGCGGAAUGCGCAGUGUAGCGGUGAAAUGCUUAGAUA